rnacentral:rRNA from 1 species
AUGGCGACGGCCAGCCUCCCCCGCUCGCCGGAGGCGGCGCCUGCGGCGCUCGAGAACGACGACCUGGUCUCCGAGAUCCUCCUCCGCCUCCCCCCGCAGCCGUCCUCCCUCCCGCGCGCCUCCCGCGUCUGCACGCGCUGGCGCCGCCUCCUCUCCGACCCCGCCUUCCGCCGCCGCUUCCGCAUUCACCACCGCCGCGGCACCCCUCCGCUCCUCGGCCUCUUCGGCACGAGCCGGGGCGUCGUCACCUUCCAGCCAGCCCUGGACUUCCCCGACCGCCUCCCCAGCGGCCACUUCUCCCUCGCGCUCAACGACCCCUUCACGGCCCUCGGAUGGCGCCACGGCCUCGCGCUCUUCUACCUCCCGGACUCGCUCCAGGUCGUCGUCUGGGACCCCCUGGCCGGCGCCCGGCACCGCCUCGGCAUUCCCGAGGGGUUCGUGUUCGACCCGUCGGAGGACCCGGUCAACGGGGCGGUGCUUCGCGCCGCCGGAGACGUCGACCACUUCCAGGUGGUCCUGGUAACCAGCGACGGGAAACGACCAUCACUCGCCUGCGUUUACUCGUCGGAGACUGGGUUAUGGGGUGAUUUCAUCUCCGCGCCGCUUCAAUCCGGGACCAUGGUCCAUUGGGGCGAGCCCUCUGUGCUGGCUGGGGGUUGCAUUUCCUGGUUGAUUUCUGUGACGAGUAUCCUCGAGUUUGAUUUGGAUAGCCAGACCCUAGAUGUGAUAUUGGUGCCGGCGGGCAUGCUUACCGGCAGGAGUUACCAGUCCACGGUUAUGCGGGCAGAGGAUGGUGGGAUGGGUUUCCUCCACGUGGCAGACUUCACUGCCCAAUUAUGGAGGAGGGAGACAGACUGUGAUGGUGUUGGUUCAUGGAUGCUUGGAGGAACUGUUGAAUUGGACAGGUUACUUCCCCAGGUUCAGAUAACGAAGCCCUGCGUAUGUUAG